rnacentral:tRNA from 1 species
GCCUGGCUAGCUCAGUCGGUAGAGCAUGAGACUCUUAAUUUCAAGGUCAUGGAUUCGAGCCCCACGUUGGGUG